rnacentral:rRNA from 1 species
UGGGGAAUAUUGCACAAUGGGCGCAAGCCUGAUGCAGCCAUGCCGCGUGUGUGAAGAAGGCCUUCGGGUUGUAAAGCACUUUCAGCGGGGAGGAAGGCGGUGAGGUUAAUAACCUCAUCGAUUGACGUUACCCGCAGAAGAAGCACCGGCUAACUCCGUGCCAGCAGCCGCGGUAAUACGGAGGGUGCAAGCGUUAAUCGGAAUUACUGGGCGUAAAGCGCACGCAGGCGGUUUGUUAAGUCAGAUGUGAAAUCCUCGGGCUCAACCUGGGAACUGCAUCUGAUACUGGCAAGCUUGAGUCUCGUAGAGGGGGGUAGAAUUCCAGGUGUAGCGAUGAAAUGCGUAGAGAUCUGGAGGAAUACCGGUGGCGAAGGCGGCCCCCUGGACGAAGACUGACGCUCAGGUGCGAAAGCGUGGGGAGCAAACAGG